ACGCGCUGGGCCUCUCUUGUUGAUCCCAGGAUCCUCUACAUAACAUGUGCCUCUCUUCCCUAGGGUGGGGCCGGGGGAACUGAGCGGCGUAGACCCAGCGGGUGCUCUGGCACGGUUGAUGGGGUAGCAGCAACAGCAGCGUGCGGGACGGUGUGCCUCAGCAGACAGAGGAGGGCGUCAGGUGAGGAGCAUGUGCAAGGAGGGCAAGUGGUGUUGGUGUUAGGGAUCGACAGCUUUGUACAAGUUUCUUUAAAAGCACCGUGGUUAACGUGUCCCCCCAGCAGCCUGCCAGCGGUCCAGGGAGCAGGCCCAAGCAGUCCCACACACGGCGAGGAGUGGCAUGAGGUGGGUGGCUCGUCUUUGCCAAAAGGAAUCGGGACUCGCCAUCCACCCCACAGGAGACUCACCCAAGCACAUGUGCAAGUCAGAGAUGGGCCUGCCGGGUGAGGAGUGGACGCUGAUCUGUUAGUACGCCACGAACUGAGUGAAAAACUGAGAUUCUUUCAUAACUGUGGUUUUUCCUAAAGUGGAUCAGCUGAACCUAAGUGCAGCCCCUGAAGGAAGAGACCCUGCUCCAGGCUUGGCCUGAGUAGCUGUGUUUGUCAGGCCCGGCAGAUGUUUCUCUAGUCUCAUCUUACAGCCCAGAGACUCAGGCCGCCGUAAUUGUCUAUUUUGUGCGGCUUUCAUCUUUCAUUUGGCAAAAUGAUUCAUGUGGAGUACAACAUGCAUUUCUGAUUACUUAUCCAGAAAUGUGUCUUCCUCUGGUAAGACUGCUCCUUCCCUGAACAGACGUGGGGGUUUUCGGAUAAGCUACUGAGGUGACCCUUUGCUUCCUUUCCGUUUGAGUUCUUUGGCAUCGGCCGUGCAUUUCUUCGUUGGGCUUACCCUCAGUGAGCCCCUACUACUGCCGUUCGUGGGUACACACGCCAGAGUCUGAGCAUCUCUGCUCUCAAGGAGAUCGUUGUGUGACCCGG
rnacentral:lncRNA from 1 species